CCUACGGGUGGCAGCAGUGGGGAAUAUUGGGCAAUGGGCGCAAGCCUGACCCAGCAACGCCGCGUGAAGGAAGAAGGCAUUCGGGUUGUAAACUUCUUUUAAGGGGGGAGAGCAGAAGACGGUACCCCUUGAAUAAGCCACGGCUAACGACGUGCCAGCAGCCGUGGUAAUACGUAGGUGGCAAGCGUUGUCCGGAUUUACUGGGUGUAAAGGGCGUGCAGCCGGAGAGACAAGUCAGGUGGGAAAUCCACGGGCUCAACCCGUGAACUGCAUUUGAAACUGUUUCCCUUGAGUGUCAGAGAGGUAAUCGGAAUGCCUGGUGUAGCGGUGAAAUGCGUAGAUAUAAGGAAGAACACCAGUGGCGAAGGCGGAUUACUGGACGCUAACUGACGGUGAGGCGCGAAAGCGUGGGGAGCAAACAGGAUUAGAUACCCUAGUAGUC
rnacentral:rRNA from 1 species